CCCAACUUUAAGAAAGCUAGCCAACUGCCGGAAGAGGAUAGCACACUUUAUUUUAUUUUAUUAGAAGAAUUGAAAGGCGGUGUUAAAAAGAAACGUCUAAAAAUCUUCUUCGAACACCUUUAAAACAAACAAACAUAUCCAUGAGAACGCCAGCAAAGAGUGACCCCCCCACACACACUCGGGAAAAAAGCCAGGGUCGUCUGGUGGAAAGCGCCAGCGCCUUUCGCGCGCGGGGAAACGCGGGGAAGAAGGAAAAGUACGUCUAGCUUUUUGGAGGCCCCGUCCUCGAGGGAGAAGGACGGAGGCGAUCUGGCCCUUUCGCUCGGCUUCCAGUUACUACAGAGCAGAGGGAAACGGGGAGGGGAGGGGAAGGGACAGACUGUCCCUGAGAGGGGGCCACGCCCCUUCCUUCCUGCCUUGGACUCUAGGACUGAGUAUCAUCCUUGGGGCUGAUAAGCUACGGACCCUCCUUCCAAAGAAUAUUUUCCCCACUAUUACCCCCUUUUCAUGGUUUGCUGCCCUAGACGACAGUCGGCGCCUGGAUUUCACCGGCCUUUAGGAGCCCUUUGCGGGGGAUCCAGCUUCAACAGUGGAGAUAAGGAAGCAAUUCACGAUAUAAAUGUGAAUGAAUCCAAUGCAUAUUUCCCAAAUCCAAGCCUCUGAGUUUUCUUGCCAGUUGCAGCUCAUGAGUUGUUUUUGAAAGAGGAUAUUCAGAAAUGGCAUGCUAUCAGCUCAUUAAUAAAAGACUUAUUGUCCCCAAUUGCUUCUUUCAAACAAGUAGGAAGGUGCACAGAAAUGUACAGUGUACAGCCACACAAACUGGAGGAGUCUUCAAUAACCUUGGAUAAAGAAUUUGGAAUCCAAACAGCAUCGAGUUGCACAAUCAUGCAAAAUGCACUGGACCUUUGAAGCACUUUGGAAACAGUGGACCAUUACAAUCUCAUGAAUCAUUAUAUCACACAGAUAAACCAUUUUAAUAUU